UAGGGAAUAUUGCGCAAUGGAGGAAACUCUGACGCAGCGACGCCGCGUGGGUGAUGAAGGCUUUCGGGUCGUAAAGCCCUGUCGGAAGGGAAGAAAAAUAUUCGGGAUAACACCCCGAGUACGUGACGGUACCUUCAAAGGAAGCACCGGCUAACUACGUGCCAGCAGCCGCGGUAAUACGUAGGGUGCUAGCGUUGUUCGGAAUCAUUGGGCGUAAAGCGCGUGUAGGUGGUUAAUUAAGUCGGGUGUGAAAUCCCUGGGCUCAACCGAGGAAGUGCAUCCGAAACUAAUUAGCUAGAGAGUGGCAGAGGAAGGUGGAAUUCCUAGUGUAGAGGUGAAAUUCGUAGAUAUUAGGAGGAAUACCGGUGGCGAAGGCGGCCUUCUGGACCAUUUCUGACACUGAGACGCGAAAGCGUGGGGAGCAAACAG
rnacentral:rRNA from 1 species